UUGAGUAUCGCGCGCGCUCUCCGCCGAGGCCUUUGUAUGAAUAAAAAAAAAAACAUUAAAUACAUUAAUUCAACAUUAUUUUUUUUUCUCAACGUGUAGUCGAUUAUUUUUUGAAAAAAAAAUUUUUUUUCAACGCGAAUAUCGCUUAGUUUUAUUUCACGUAAGAAUCUCUCGACGAAAAACCACUGUCGGCCAAAGAAAUAGGAUGGAGUGUAUUUUUACAUCACCUCAAAGACGUCAUCACUCAUCAGAUAACAAAAACGUCGCUGUCUCGCGAUUGUUGGUUUGACAACACCUCCUAACCUAACCUAACCUAACCUCGUGGACGGUGAGAGUUUGUGAGAGUCGUCCAGAGGUCAUUGAUGUUGGCGUGUAUCUGGCUGUACAAUAUAAUCGUCGUUGAUUUAUUAUUAUAGUGCGCCCACGAGUUUCCUCGUUUUGGGCGCGAUUCAUGUGCAAUCGUUUCUUCGUUCAGGCCAUACAAUCUUUUGACGGAUUACCGUGAACCGUGUAUAAGCUGGCCGGCUGGCUGGCUGGCUGGCUCACGCACAAACUUAAACAUCAAAUUCUCUUGAAAAAACUGCACGGAUCACACCAGACGAAUUAUGUGUGGGGAAAUCGAAAAUUAACAACGAAGGGAGGAGACGACUAUAAGAACGCCGGCGGCCUCUUCGAGUAGUAGGUCGGUCAUACACGUGCCGUGACUGGUUUGAGAGCAGAAAAUUUGCAAUGUCAAUGGUGUGUAUACACACGCGCACGUUCACUAUGUUUGGCAACACGUGUACGCAUACAGAGCGAAUUUUUGCCCAC